rnacentral:ncRNA from 2 species
GGGAAGCCGGUGGAAAUCCGGCGCUGACCCGCAACCGUGAGGACGGCCCCUGCGCACCGCGCCCCUGGCCCGGCGUGGACGGCCGUACGAGCCGGAGCACC